AGCAGCCGCGGUAAUUCCAGCUCCAAUAGCGUAUAUUAAAGUUGUUGCAGUUAAAAAGCUCGUAGUUGAAUUUCGGGGUUAGUAGGUUGGUCAUGCCUCUGGUAUGUACUGGUCUCACUGAUUCCUCCUUCCUGAUGAACCUUAAUGCCAUUUAUUUGGUGUUUUGGGGAAUUUGGACUGUUACUUUGAAAAAUUAGAGUGUUUAAAGCAAGCUAACGCUUGAAUACAUUAGCAUGGAAUAAUGAAAUAGGACGUUCGAUCCUAUUUUGUUGGUUUCUAGGAUUGACGUAAUGAUUAAUAGGGAUAGUUGGGGGCAUUAGUAUUCAAUUGUCAGAGGUGAAAUUCUUGGAUUUAUUGAAGACUAACUACUGCGAAAGCAUUUGCCAAGGAUGUUUUCAUUAAUCAAGAACGAAAGUUAGGGGAUCGAAGACGAUCAGAUACCGUCGUAGUCUUAACCAUAAACUAUGCCGACUAGGGAUCGGAUGAUGUUAAUUUUUAAUGAC
rnacentral:rRNA from 1 species